rnacentral:rRNA from 1 species
UACCGUCAUCAUCUUCGCAUCUGAAAGAGCUUUACAACCCGAAGGCCUUCUUCANNNACGNGGCAUGGCUGGAUCAGGCUUGCGCCCAUUGUCCAAUAUUCCCCACUGCUGCCUCCCGUAG